GACGAACGCUGGCGGCGUGCUUAACACAUGCAAGUCGAACGGAAAGGCCCUGCUUUUGUGGGGUGCUCGAGUGGCGAACGGGUGAGUAACACGUGAGUAACCUGCCCUUGACUUUGGGAUAACUUCAGGAAACUGGGGCUAAUACCGGCUAGGAGCUCCUGCUGCAUGGUGGGGGUUGGAAAGUUUCGGCGGUUGGGGAUGGACUCGCGGCUUAUCAGCUUGUUGGUUGGGUAGUGGCUUACCAAGGCUUUGACGGGUAGCCGGCCUGAGAGGGUGACCGGCUACAUUGGGACUGAGAUACGGCCCAGACUACUACGGGAGGCAGCAGUGGGGAAUAGUGCACAAGGGGCGGAAGCCUGAUGCAGCAACGCCGCGUGCGGGAUGACGGCCUUCGGGUUGUAAACCGCUUUCGCCUGUGACGAAGCGUGAGUGACGGUAAUGGGUAAAGAAGCACCGGCUAACUACGUG
rnacentral:rRNA from 1 species